rnacentral:rRNA from 1 species
GACAGAGGGUGCAAACGUUGUUCGGAAUCACUGGGCGUAAAGCGUGUGUAGGCGGCUUCUCAAGUCGGGUGUGAAAUCCCAGGGCUCAACCCUGGAAGUGCAUUCGAAACUGGGUAGCUAGAGUACUGGAGAGGAAGGUGGAAUGCUUGGUGUAGAGGUGAAAUUCGUAGAUAUCAAGCGGAACACCGGUGGCGAAGGCGGCCUUCUGGACAGAUACUGACGCUGAGAACACGGAAAGCGUGGGGAGCAAACAGG